GUAUUGAAGGUGAUGCCUGCCCAGUGACAACACGUUCAACGGCCGCGGUAUCCUAACCGUGCAAAGGUAGCGCAAUCAAUUGUCCCAUAAAUCGGGACUUGUAUGAAUGGCUUAACGAGGUCUUAACUGUCUCCUAUAGAUAAUCAGUGAAAUUGAUCUCCCUGUGCAAAAGCAGGAAUAACCUCAUAAGACGAGAAGACCCUGUGGAACUUAAAAAUCAGCAGCCACCCCAUAAAAAACUUUUCCCCUACUGGCCGUCCCUCUACCCAGGAUCACGCUGGCAUGCAUUUUUCGGUUGGGGCGACCUCGGAGCACAACGAACCCUCCAAAAAUAAGACCACCCCUCUUAACCAAGAACAACAAAUCUACGUACUAACAGUAACCAGACCCAAUACAAUUGACCAAUGAACCAAGCUACCCCAGGGAUAACAGCGCAAUCUCCUCCAAGAGCCCCCAUCGACGAGGAGGUUUACGACCUCGAUGUUGGAUCAGGACAUCCUAGUGGUGUAGCCGCUACUAAGGGUUCGUUUGUUCAACGAUUAAUAGUCCUACGUGAUCUGAGUUCAGACCGGCCUGUGUGA
rnacentral:rRNA from 1 species